UCUUGAUUAAGAUCAGUGCACAUGAUUAUCGAAGAUGGCGAAAGUGGAGAAGGAAACCGUGAAAGUGUUGGACAAUUCCACUAGAGGUGGUCUUUGGCUAUAAAAAAUGUAACCAGCAAUAAGGGACAUUUUUCCUCAAUGGUCUCCACAAGUUAAUGCAUUUAUAUCUUACAACAGCUUCCAGUGGCAUUUUGAUGAGGAUCUUUUGUAUCCCUGGUUUAAGGUUAGUAGUAAGGUCUAUGUAUAUAACCAAAAGUGUUUGGCUCUUUGAGUCAAGAACAGGUGGAAAUUUUGCUGGAGAAAAGAUGACCAAAACCUUGCAUUUUGGUUGCUGCAAGGGUUUUUUUUUAAUCAUGCUGUUUUUGGAGCAAGAUGUUUUAUUGGCUAUUUAACCCUAAAACUCCUAUGAGUGAUUAACAUGUAAUUUCUCCCCAUAACAUCCACACAUUAUCCAGCCUACACGUUAUGAGAAUACUCAAAGUUAUCAGGUAAAAGUUAGAAGUCUUGAUCUAACACCAAAUUCUUGUGAUUUUUUUACAAGGAAAUGUGAAGCAGCUAGAGGGGAAGAUUAACAAUUAGAUCUUGGGAGUUAAAGGGUUAAAAUUUAUGAUCAGUCAUUACUAACAAAUUUUUCAACUUUUGAAUUCUUUGUUUGUGUGAGAAAGCACAUUACCUGCCCAUUGUUUAUUUGGUAUGAGCAUCUGAGAGAAAAGAGUAUAGGAAUGUAGAUACUCCAUAAAAUGUGUUUAAAUGCCUCUGUUUAAGCCAGGUUAGCAUACAAAAUUUAAGGGUAAAUGCUGGUAUCAGCAGAUUGUACUGCAAUUAGAGCACACUCUUUUACAAGUAAUGUUGAUGUUUUUGGAGAGUUAUGAUGAGAAACUUUCAGUUAUCCCUGUCAUAUCAAUGAUGCUGAUAAGUCACGUCAGUCUGAUUCUCUCCCUGGACCAUCUUUGAACUUGUUUCUUCAUUCUACACUGUGUGACAAGCUGAAAUGUCUCUUUCAGAUGCUAAGGGGAUAGAAGUGGCCAGGCAGAUCAAGCAGCUGGUAGGUUCACUUGUUGCCAUUUGGCCACAGUGUCAUGCUUUGCAUGAGAAACCUCUUUUUGAAAGGCAAACCUUGGUUGUCAAUGAAGAUCAACAGUGUCAAAAAACAGGAACUGAGAUCUCAAUGGAAGAUAGAUGUUCUCCAUACAGGUAGCUGAAAGGAACAGGUGAGUUCAUUUUGUAAGGUAGCAUUUGUUGGG